rnacentral:tRNA from 1 species
GCGGGAGUAGCUCAGUUGGUAGAGCGUAACCUUGCCAAGGUUAAGGUCGGGAGUUCGAGACUCCUCUCCCGCUCCA